AAAUGCUCUACCACUGAUCUACAACCCCAGCCCCAAGAAGUGAUUUGUUUUUAAAUGUUGCUUUCACUCUUCAUGUUUUUAUUACUUUCCUCUGACAUUUAAAGUGUCAUUUUCUAUUUCUGAAAGCAUUCUAGAGGAAAACAUAUUUUAGAAACGUACUUUGCAAAGAUCUUAGGCCAAGGGCGUCCUUCCUUACUGGGUUCACAGGCAGCUCCUCGACUCCAAAAAGCAACAGCCCUGUCCCUCUGUGCGGAAGUCUUCCUCAGUGCGUUCCUAGGCGGGACCCAGGCUCUAGGUGUUACCCAGGCUCUAGGUGUUGUGGGGACUCAAACUCUUUCUCCAGUUGGGGGCUCAUUUUUAACCCUCUGGGUGUCCCCUGCCGCUCUGCUCACCUGUUUUCUCUCCUUGGCUGCCCCACUGUGUGGAGAGCACCCUACUGUGUGCAGAGCACACUCCUGCUGAGACAUGCACAGCCCCCAGCUGGAAGGAAGAUCCUGGCAGGUGAACUAACAGGCUCCUCUACCCACAGUGACAAGAGGUGUUCACAGGCAGGAAGGAGAGUCCAUCCUCCAUGUCCACGAAGGGCAACGGAGAGUCCAUCCUCCAUAUCUGUGGUUCCACCUCCAUGGAUUCAAACAACCCGUGAUCAAAAAUAUUCAGAAAAAGAAAACCACAUCUGAACAAGUACAUACUUCCUUAUCAUUAUACCUAAACAAUGCCGUAAGAGAGCCAUUUCCAUAACAUUUAUAUUGUGUUAGGUAUUACAAAUAACUAAAAAUGAUUUUAAAU
rnacentral:lncRNA from 1 species